rnacentral:rRNA from 1 species
UACGUAGGGUGCAAGCGUUGUCCGGAAUUAUUGGGCGUAAAGAGCUCGUAGGCGGUUUGUUGCGUCGGCUGUGAAAUCCCGAGGCUCAACCUCGGGUCUGCAGUCGAUACGAGCAAACUAGAGUGUUGCAGGGGAGACUGGAAUUCCUGGUGUAGCAGUGAAAUGCGUAGAUAUCAGGAGGAAUACCGAUGGCGAAGGCAGGUCUCUGGGCUGAACACUGACGCUCAUGCACGAAAGCGUGGGGAGCAAACAGGAUUAGAACCCCG